rnacentral:rRNA from 1 species
CAGCAGUAGCCGCGGGAAUACAGAGGGUGCGAGCGUUAAUCGGAUUUACUGGGCGUAAAGCGUGCGUAGGCGGCUUUUUAAGUCGGAUGUGAAAUCCCUGAGCUUAACUUAGGAAUUGCAUUCGAUACUGGGAAGCUAGAGUAUGGGAGAGGAUGGUAGAAUUCCAGGUGUAGCGGUGAAAUGCGUAGAGAUCUGGAGGAAUACCGAUGGCGAAGGCAGCCAUCUGGCCUAAUACUGACGCUGAGGUACGAAAGCAUGGGGAGCAAACAGGAUUAGAUACCCCUGUAGUCCCUGUCUCUUAUAA